rnacentral:rRNA from 1 species
UGGGGAAUAUUGCACAAUGGGCGCAAGCCUGAUGCAGCCAUGCCGCGUGUGUGAAGAAGGCCUUCGUGUUGUAAAGCACUUUCAGCGGGGAGGAAGGCGUUAAGGUUAAUAACCUUGGCGAUUGACGUUACCCGCAGAAGAAGCACCGGCUAACUCCGUGCCAGCAGCCGCGGUAAUACGGAGGGUGCAAGCGUUAAUCGGAAUUACUGGGCGUAAAGCGCACGCAGGCGGUCUGUCAAGUCGGAUGUGAAAUCCCCGGGCGCAAACUGGGAACUGCAUUCGAAACUGGCAGGCUAGAGUCUUGUAGAGGGGGGUAGAAUUACAGGUGUAGCGGUGAAAUGCGUAGAGAUCUGGAGGAAUACCGGUGGCGAAGGCGGCCCCCUGGACAAAGACUGACGCUCAGGUGCGAAAGCGUGGGGAGCAAACAGG